CUAGGACGAACGCUGGCGGCGUGCCUAAUACAUGCAAGUCGAGCGAAUGAUUAGAGAAGCUUGCUUCUCUCUGAUUAGCGGCGGACGGGUGAGUAACACGUGGGUAACCUACCCUAUAGACUGGGAUAACUUCGGGGAACCGGAGCUAAUACCGGAUAAUACUUUUGAACUCAUGUUCGAAAGUUGAAAGAUGGUUUCGGCUAUCACUAUAGGAUGGACCCGCGGCGCAUUAGCUAGUUGGUGAGGUAACGGCUCACCAAGGCAACGAUGCGUAGCCGACCUGAGAGGGUGAUCGGCCACACUGGGACUGAGACACGGCCCAGACUCCUACGGGAGGCAGCAGUAGGGAAUCUUCCACAAUGGACGAAAGUCUGAUGGAGCAACGCCGCGUGAGUGAAGAAGGAUUUCGGUUCGUAAAACUCUGUUGCAAGGGAAGAACAAGUAGCGUAGUAACUGGCGCUACCUUGACGGUACCUUGUUAGAAAGCCACGGCUAACUACGUGCCAGCCGCAGC
rnacentral:rRNA from 1 species